rnacentral:lncRNA from 1 species
UUCUCUUAGGUUUUGUUUUCUCAAGUCCAAAAGGGAGUUAAUUACACUUAAAUCAUAAGACUGCCAGGAACAUUGGAUCAGAUAAUGCAUAAAAUGCCAGAAACUCUGCUUCUUGCUGAAGUGCAGCAAUGAAAACAAAACAGAACAAACCUAGUCUAUAUGCUAUCAAGGAACUUAGAUUCUAGUUAGGGAGAUAGACAACAAUCAGAUUAUAAAUAUGUAAUAUAGUUCACUAUAUUUCAAUGCUGUGAAAAAAUAAAAAGUAUAAGUUAGGCUACGAGGAUAAAAGUAGG